AGAUCAUUAUACGGGCUCAAGCAAUCACCAAGAGCUUGGUUUGAGAAAUUUACCAAGGUAAUAAAGAAUCAUGGCUAUUCUCAAUGUCAAUCAGAUCACACCUUGUUUAUUAAAGUAACCUAAAG